GGGUCAUCCAUGAAUAACACUUCAAGCUGAUGAAUGGCUCUUGCCGGCUUUCGGCUCUGAUGAGGGGUCUGCCGGCCGCUGAUUGCAAACACUAAUGAACUUACAGCUCCAUUUGAAAUUCACACGCACCAACAAAGUGAAGGGAAGUGUCCUCUUGUCGGGGACGAAAAGCGCAAAUGACCUU
ensembl:processed_transcript Gm19744 predicted gene, 19744